AUCGACAGCAGCAAGCAGAGAUGGAGAGCUCGACAUGUUCCUUAGAAAAAGGCAGGAGACAGGGAGCCAUCACUCUUCUCUCCUCGCCACCCGUUUCUCUCCCCUUCCUCCUCCCCCUCACCCACGUGGCUCCGCUCCUGCGCUGAAGAUUAAAAGCGCACGAGAUAGAGAGGAGUCGGCUGGAGAGGAAUCAUCAGCCCGCYCAGAGUCGGAAAGACAAAAAGAAAGGUCAACCGUGAUCCUUCAUGGUGUGUGAGAGUGUGUGUCUUGGACAGGCGGUUUGGCAGAAGGYGUGUGAUUUACGUGUUCAAAUACUUCUGUGGAUUCUUUACAAUUUCUUCUACUUAUCUUUA